UACGUAGGGUGCGAGCGUUGUCCGGAAUUAUUGGGCGUAAAGAGCUUGUAGGCGGUUUGUCGCGUCUGCUGUGAAAGUCCGGGGCUCAACUCCGGAUCUGCGGUGGGUACGGGCAGACUAGAGUGAUGUAGGGGAGACUGGAAUUCCUGGUGUAGCGGUGGAAUGCGCAGAUAUCAGGAGGAACACCGAUGGCGAAGGCAGGUCUCUGGGCCAUUACUGACACUGAGAAGCGAAAGCAUGGGGAGCGAACAGG
rnacentral:rRNA from 1 species